GAGCUCGCUUUGGCAGCACAUAUACUAAAAUAAGAAUCAUACAGAGAAGUUUAGCAUGGCCGCUGCUCACAGAUGACCUGCAAAUUCGUGAAGUGUUCCAUAUUUUG
ensembl:snRNA U6 U6 spliceosomal RNA